rnacentral:ncRNA from 1 species
UGAAUUUUUUAGCAAACCUGUCAAAAGGCAGGGACGCAAAGCCACGGAUCUAAGCGUAAAUCGUAUGAUAGCCGGGUUGCAAGG